rnacentral:tRNA from 1 species
ACCUGGCUGGCUCAGUAAGUAGAGCAUACGACCCUUGAUCUUGAGGUCAUGAGUUCAAGCCUCAUGCUGGGCA